GAAUUUUGGACAAUGGGCGAAAGCCUGAUCCAGCAAUGCCGCGUGCAGGAUGAAGGCCUUCGGGUUGUAAACUUCUUUUGUACGGAACGAAAAGCUUUGGGGUAAUACCCUGGAGUCAUGACGGUACCGUAAGAAAACGCACCGGCUCACUACUUUCCAGCAGCCGCGGUAAUACGUAGGGUGCAAGCGUUAAUAGGAAUUACUGGGCGGAACGCGUGCGCAGGCGGUUUUGUAAGACAGAGGUGAAAUCCCCGGGCUCAACCUGGGAACUGCCUUUGUGACUGCAAGGCUAGAGUACGUCAGAGGGGGGUUGAAUUCCGCGUGUAGCAGUGAAAUGCGUAGAUAUGCGGAGGAACACCGAUGGCGAAGGCAACCCCCUGGGCCUGUACUGACGCUCAUGCACGAAAGCGUGGGGAGCAAACA
rnacentral:rRNA from 1 species